rnacentral:ncRNA from 1 species
GAAGUCAAUGUCAGAAACUAUUCGUUGAGUGCUAUAACAGUGCGUGCUAAGCGUAGGCAGGGAAAUAAUAGGCCGUAAGCCAAAGAGCUGAAGUGAUUGAGCCUCGUAAACAUAAUACUGAGAUAGCCGAUGAUUUGGAAUGUAUCAGAAGGCAAUAUCGAAUAGGACGUUAAGAGAAGAAAUAUUCGACAUCUCCGGGGUCUUAGAGCA